rnacentral:rRNA from 1 species
UACGAAGGGGGCUAGCGUUGUUCGGAAUUACUGGGCGUAAAGCGCACGUAGGCGGACAUUUAAGUCAGGGGUGAAAUCCCGGGGCUCAACCCCGGAACUGCCUUUGAUACUGGGUGUCUUGAGUCCGGAAGAGGUGAGUGGAAUUGCGAGUGUAGAGGUGAAAUUCGUAGAUAUUCGCAGGAACACCCGUGGCGAAGGCGGCUCUCUGGGACGGUACUGACGCUGAGACGCGAAAGCGUGGGGAGCGAACAGG